rnacentral:rRNA from 1 species
UACGGGGGGGGGCAAGCGUUGUUCGGAAUUACUGGGCGUAAAGGGCUCGUAGGCGGCCAACUAAGUCAGACGUGAAAUCCCCAGGCUCAACCUGGGAACUGCGUCUGAUACUGGAUGGCUUGAAUCCGGGAGAGGGAUGCAGAAUUCCAGGUGUAGCGGUGAAAUGCGUAGAUAUCUGGAGGAAUACCGGUGGCGAAGGCGCAUCCUGGACCGGCAUUGACGCUGAGGAGCGAAAGCCAGGGGAGCAAACGGGG